UUCCUGAGACCCCUUUUGGAGCCCCCUACCUAACUAUAUAUAUUGUUAAUUCAAACAAACAUAAGGACGUGCUCACGAAAUAUAUUAGACGCUUGGUGAAGGGAAUACCUUUCCUUCCUUAAGUUAUUUGUGUAUAGAUAUCUCAGUCCUGUUGUAGUCUCUCUUGGAUAUAUAAUGUUCACAUGUAUUCACAGUUGCAGAUACAGGCAUGGCUGUGUGCUACAUGGUGUAGGCAUGGUUGUGUGGUUAAAUUCACAACCAUGUGAUUUUAGAUUUUUUCCCACUACAUGGCACAUGGAUGCCUACUACUAUAACCUUGGGUUGACUAAGGCUUUACUAAAGAAAUUGAUGACCAAAAGCUGUACCGAAGCCCACUCCUCAUAUAUGUGUGCAUGUGGAUGAUUGCAUUAUGAUGCACUUACUGUGAUUAUUAAAAAUAAAUAUUCUCUAUUUGUUAUUUUUAUAAUGUAAUGAUGUGUGUGUGUGUGUAUACACACAUACACACACAAUAGAUACCAAAGUCUUUCAGUAUAAAUUUGUAACCACAACAUUGUGGUCUUGGGAGGGGUUCAGUUCUGCUACUCUUUGGACAGGUGUCUUCUACUAUAUACUCAGGCUGAUCAUGACCUUGUGAGUGAAUUUAAUAGGCAGAAGCUAAAAGAAACCCAUUGUAUGUGCAUAUGUGUGUUGGUUUACAUUUGUACUCUAUGACACUCAAUGUCUGCUCAUUUCACACCUUCGUAGACUUGUGAAAUAAGUCAUCCUUUCAAAACAAGUAAGGUUUGUGACAAGAAGGGCAUCCAGUUGUAAAACAUUGCCUUGAUAAUAUAUUCAUCUAGGCCAUGCUAGCAUGAAAACAUGGAUAUAAAGUGAAUGAGUGAAUAUAUAUAUAUAUAUAUAUAUCAUGUGAUCACGUGACCGACCAGACCAUCAGAUGUUGUUACACAUUGCUGGUCACAAUGCAUUCGCAUUGUUUUAGCCUUCGAAUGACGACACCCUGCUGGUUAAGCUAGCAGGCCAACAGGAGAAAGAGUGGUGAAAGAGUACAGCAGGGAUCACCACCCCCUGCCGGAGCCUCGUGGAGCUUUAAGGUGUUUUCUUUCAAUAAACACUUACAACGCCCGUUCUGGGAAUUGAAACCGUGAGUCCACUGCCCUAACCAUUGGGCUAUUGCGCCUCCACAUAUAUAUAUAUAUAUAUAUAUAAAACCUUUGCCAGCCUGGAAACUGACACAUAUAUAUUUAUUUGUAGAGAGAGAGUUUAUUUAAUUUGUUACUGAUUGUAAUGCCAUUUAUUAGCAGAUAUGUUUGUGUGUGUAAAAUGCAUUGAGGCUGUUUGGCUUAGCAGUUAAGGUAUUGGACUCACAGUUAGGGUGCAUUAUGUAUGGCUUUGAGCAAAGCACUUUGUUUUACAGUGCUCCAGUCCACUAGGCUGAAAUGAGGGCAAACCACAGAGGGGAGUCUUACACUGUCAGUGACCUCAAUACUUCAGAAAUCUAGAUGAGCUCCAGCUUCGUGAGUCUGUAGGCCUGAGAUGGAUUUUAAAACAAAAAAAUGGAUGUGUGCAUAUACACACACACAUACAUGUAAAUGGGUUAAGGAAAAAUUUUCCAAUUAGCUGAACGAGGACAACAUUCCCAUUGAUGGGAAGCAGAGUAUUUAUCUAUUUUUCCUGUGCACCUGUCCUUCUCUUUCUAAACAUUUGUUAUUUAACAGUACUAUUCUGUAUCUACUAGGGUUGUUGUUGAUGCUGCACAGCAAGUAGCAGAUAUGUGGUUGAAGUCCUGCUGUGUUUUUUCUGUCUCAGAUAUCAUUUAUAGAUAGAAGUGUGUGUAUGCUCACAUGUGUAUUUGUGUACACCGACACAUAUGUAGGUGUACACAAAUACACAUAUGUAGUCUUGCUUUAUGUUAGCUGAAGUUUUACAAACAAGAGUCUUGUAAUCAGUGUCUUGUAAUUGUACUUUUCAAUUACAAGAAAUAAAUAAUUUUCUUGUAGAUCAGUCAACUUUUAUAAUAUUGAUUCACAUUUAAAGAGGGGUUUGAAAACCAAGUGUAACUGGGAGCUUAUACAUUCUUUCUAUGUUUACCCCUUUUGCUGUUUUGUAUAAGCCUGCUUUACAUAAAGGUAGCAAUUUGACUUCAAACAUUACUGAAUACUAUUCCAAAUUUCCACUGAAA